UGGUUGAACUGGUGUGGUUGUUGCGCUUGUUGGCAGAUUUGGGACUUGAAGUUCCUACUCCUGUUCCUGUUUUUUUUUUUUUACAAUCAGGCCGCCAUUCAUAUUGUUCAUAACCCAAUUUUUCAUUAACAUGCCAAACAUAUCGAGGUGGACUGUCAUUUUAUUCGCGCCAAGUUGAAUGAUGGGUUGAUUGAUCUGCUUCAUGUGCCUACUAGAUCUCAGCUAAUUGAUAUUUUCACGAAGUCCCUCACCGGACUUGUUCAUCAUCCUCUUUUACUCAAGUUAGGUGUUCAGGCCCCCUCGAACUUCCAGUGGCGUAGGGGUGGGGUGUUGAAGUUACAUCUACCUGUGCAUGACUAUUUUAUUUGUUGUCUUUCAUUAUUAGGUUUAGCCCAGCUGUAAAUAAUAGUUAGUAGGACUAUAUUAUUGGAUUUGAACUCUGAAAUUACACCGAUUAUAUUAUUGUUGUCGGUCAUAGUUUUAAGCUAAAUAUGUAGCAUGUGAUGAGAAGUAACAAUUUUGGUACUUGAAAUUUGAAUACUACUCCCUCCGUCCUAUUUUGUCCGUUCCGAAUUUUCUAAUUUGGUGUCCCAUUUUACUUGUCAUUUUUUACUUAUCAAGACAAGACAAAUUUUUUUUCCAUAUUUUACCUUUGCAUUAAUUAUUUUUUCUUUAAAUUAAAAUGUAAACAUCAUUUAACAGGUGCACUAUGAUAAACUAGCUAUGUUAUUUAUUAUUUUUCUUAAUCGUUGUGCCGUUUCAAUUUGGGACUGUCACACCCUUUUUUUACGUACUCCAAAAAGAUUGUUUAUUAAAGUUCGAAAGGAUUUUAAUUAUUAAUGUGACAAAAGAUGAAAAUUUAUUUCGAAAAAGAAUUAUUUUUAACAAUCAAAACUCAGAGUUGCCACUUGGCAUAAAUCGGGUGUACCAAGUCACCCAUGGAUAUCCUUUUUCAAAAUGGUUUUGACUCUUUAAUACUGGUUUGCGAACAGAGACUCUGGCUAAGGAAUUCUGUUGACCGAGGGGAAGGUGUUAGACACCCCUCGAUCCCGUGGUUCAACCACGGUCGCUUGGUAAAGUGUAUCGACUAUUUUUUUGACACUACGAAGUGUAUAAACCACAUAAAAGCACGCAAAACAAUCAAACGAUAAAUAAAACAAAACAAUCCAAAAUGUAAUGUCCAGUCCAAUUAUACAGUCCAAAAAUAGAAAAAAUACGAAAAUAUAAAUCCUAUUCUAAACUAAUCUAUACUACGCUCCAAUGCUUUACCCGAUUCCGCGGGCCUUCAUCACGAUCAUUUUUUUCGCCAACAUGAUACGUCGGGGCAUUCUCUGGUGAAUAAAUACAAAAGACCUCGGGGCAUUCCCCGGCUAAAUGAAUACAUUUGAAUCGAAUGUGAUAAAGUAGAAAACAUUUAACACAUACUCCACAUUCAAACAUCCAACGAAACACUUAUUUCUAAAUUUUGCCUACCCUAACCUACGAUUGCCUACCCACUUGACCUAUCAUGAUAUUAUCCAAUUCGACAAUAUUCAGUAAUGAAUCAAAAAAUAAACAACCUUCAACCUAUUUGAUUAUCAAUUUCCAAUCCCGACCCCCUCAAAUCUCAUUUUUCGAUCAAACAAAUCAACUUCAAUAUAGAAACAUCCAAUCAAAGCCACGACAAUCAUAGAUGUUAAAACAUGCGAUCAAAAUAUAUUAUCAAUCAUCACGAAACACGCAAAUCACAACAUCAAUCUAUCAAGUUGAGUAAAAUGAAAAGAAGGAGUUGAAAAAUUGGACCUUAGAAGAAGCUUUCGAAAUCAACGUAUUAUUCCAAUUAAAUUCGGGUUCUCUGCAUCCGAAACCUUUGAUUCGAACCUCAACAAACGAACAACACCAAUCUCGAUUUAUCCUUUAUGCUCUGUUUUUCACCAAUUCGGUCCCGCAGCUCGACUAAUCUAUCCGACCCGCUCCCAUUUUUCUCUUAAUAGCUCUUUUUUAAUUAAAAUUGCUUUUUUCGACUAAAUCAUGACCAAAAUUCAGAACCGAACCGCAACAUCAAAUCUCAAACCGAUAGCUUCGACCUUAAUAUACGUUUUGUCUAGGACCCAGUUGUUUUUCUAAGCGUUUUGGUGCUGGGUUUGACUGGUCGUUGUUGUUUUUGGGGUUAUUUCCAAUGCGCUUUGUGGUGGUUUGGCCGGCUGGUAUCGAUUUCCGACAAAUGGGUUUGUUCGCUGGUGUUUUUUGAUCGAUAAAAAUCAAUGAUUUCGGUGGUUUUCGUCAGAAAACGAACUCGACCCCUCACUGUUCUCUCGUUUUUCCACUGCCUCAGCGUUUCCUCCCCUCAUGUUCAUCACUCUCGUAUCUUCACUGUGUAUCCAUAAUUAUGGAUAUAGUGAGGUCUUUGUGAAUAUCUGUGUGAGUAUAUGCCAAUUCCAGUGAGUCAGAAUUGUAUGUAUCAAAGAAGGAAAAAAAAAUCCCCUCCAGAAUUAUAGCUGUGUGCGUGUAUAUAUGUGGUGAGGGUGGGGUACUGGUGAGGUAGGUGGGGUCACGUGGGGUAGGGGGUAGUGGUGAGGUGGGGUAGAGUUUGUCAGGAUAGGGUAGGUAGGUGUUGUAUUUUAAUUGGGUGGGUUGUUAGAAUAUUAAGAUAAAACAAAAUUAGUUAGGGGUUGUUAUUUUUGACAUUUUGUGGAGGGAUUAUCACACGGGUGAAGGUAUACAAUAGGAUAAGGUAAACAAUAGGUAAAAACGAUAUCAGGAAAGAACGAAAUUAGGUGUGUAUAGGGACGGAGGGAGUAUCUUGUGUAUCUGACCAUAAUAAUAAAUGCUUUCAGAUAUGUGGGGUUUGAUUUUGUCAACAAUUUAAAGCAG
rnacentral:lncRNA from 1 species